rnacentral:rRNA from 1 species
AGAGCGAACGCUGGCGGCAGGCCUAACACAUGCAAGUCGAGCGCCCGUAGCAAUACGGGAGCGGCAGACGGGAUAGUAACACGUGGGAACGCGCCCUUCGGUUCGGAAUAACUCAGGGAAACUUGAGCUAAUACCGGAUACGCCCUUACGGGGAAAGAUUUAUCGCCGAAAGAUUGGCCCGCGUCUGAUUAGCUAGUUGGUGAGGUAACGGCUCACCAAGGCGACAAUCAGUAGCUGGUCUGAGAGGAUGAUCAGCCACAUUGGGACUGAGACACGGCCCAAACUCCUACGGGAGGCAGCAGUGGGGAAUAUUGGACAAUGGGCGCAAGCCUGAUCCAGCCAUGCCGCGUGAGUGAUGAAGGCCCUAGGGUUGUAAAGCUCUUUUGUGCGGGAAGAUAAUGACGGUACCGCAAGAAUAAGCCCCGGCUAACUUCGUGCCAGCAGCCGC